AGUGGAUGGGGAGCAACCUAUGUUGUGCGUGUGUAAAGGUAGUGCCAAGAAAAGCGAUGAUCAUGUUGAAAAUCAAUUCCCGGUACCCGAAACCGACACAGGUGGGCAAGUAGAGAAUACUAAGGGGCGCGAGGUAACUCUCUCCAAGGAACUCGGCAAAAUGACCCCGUAACUUAGGGAGAAGGGGUGCCACCGAGAGGUGGUCGCAGUGAAGAGGCCCAGGCGACUGUUUAGCAAAAACAUAGGUCUCUGCAAACUCGAAAGAGGAGGUAUAGGGGCUGACGCCUGCCCAGUGCCGGAAGGUUAAAGAAGUUGGUCAGUUUUAGGAUGAAGCUAGCGACUGAAGCCCCGGUGAACGGCGGCCGUAACUAUAACGGUCCUAAGGUAGCGAAAUUCCUUGUCGGGUAAGUUCCGACCCGCACGAAAGGCGUAACGAUCUGGGCGCUGUCUCGGAGAGAGGCUCGGCGAAAUAGGAUUGUCUGUGAAGAUACGGACUACCUGCAUUUGGACAGAAAGACCCUAUGAAGCUUUACUAUAGCUUGGAAUUGUGUUCGGGCUUCCUGUGCGCAGGAUAGGUGGGAGGCGUAGAAGGUAUUCUUGUGGGGAUACUGGAGCCAACGGUGAGAUACCACUCUCAGGAGGCUAGAAUUCUAACUUAAUUAAGGACAGUUUCAGGUGGGUAGUUUGACUGGGGCGGUCGCCUCCAAAAAGGUAACGGAGGCGUACAAAGGUUCCCUCAGACUGGUUGGAGAUCAGUCGAAGAGUGCAAAGGCAGAAGGGAGCUUGACUGCGAGAAGUACAGUUCGAGCAGGGUGGAAACACGGUCUUAGUGAUCCGACGGUGCUGUGUGGAAGGGCCGUCGCUCAACGGAUAAAAGUUACUCUAGGAUAACAGGCUGAUCUCCCCCAAGAGUUCACAUCGACGGGGAGGUUUGGCACCUCGAUGUCGGCUCAUCGCAACCUGGGGCGGAAGUACGUCCCAAGGGUUGGGCUGUUCGCCCAUUAAAGCGGUACGUGAGCUGGGUUCAGAGCGUCGUGAGACAGUUCGGUCCAUAUCCGAUGUAGGCGUGAGAAUAUUGAGAGGAGCCUUCCUUAGUACGAGAGGACCGGGAAGGACGCACCGCUGGUGUACCUGUUAUGAUGCCAAUUGUAAACGCAGGGUAGCCAAGUGCGGAGAGGAUAACCGCUGAAAGCAUCUAAGUGGGAAGCCCACCUCAAGAUGAGUAUUCUGGUGUAAGGUCACGGGAAGACGACCCGUAAAUAGGCACGAGGUGGAAGUGCAGAGAUGUAUGAAGCCGAAGUGUACUAAUAGACCGUCGGCUUGAC
rnacentral:rRNA from 1 species